ensembl:lncRNA
AUGAACAGAGCUGCUGCGGGACGCCCCAACAUCAGUCACACACACACACACACACACACACACACACACACACACACACACACACACACACACUGCAUGGAGAUGAUGUGCUGUCUGCUCUCAGUACUGCAGGUUUCUGGAGGCUUUGAUAGAAAGCGUGAUUUAGCUGCUAACCCGAGCAUCGCUCACGGAUGGAGAGAGACAGCGGCUGAAAUCUCUCCUGCGGCUCUGAUUGAUGGAGGAGUUGAAUAGACGAGCUGGCAGCAGAGCUCAGUAUCGUUCAUCCUAAUGUGUUUGCCCUGAAUGUGAGCAUGACUUUGCUGCAUUACCCUGCGCAAAUCAAAGGGUGAAAUAAAAGACAAACACAUGAAGUCCACUUAUAGAUGUUAGUGAAGGUUUCUUUGUGUAAUUUAGUUUUUCAUGCCCCUGUAUCUGACAAUUAAAUAUUGUUUUUGAUACUGUAAUGUGGGCGGUCAUAUGUUAAUGAGCUCAUGAAUUUGUAAUAUCACAAUCAUCAUGGUUUCUGAGUUGUUUUUGCAGUUUAGUUGCAGCAAAUGUUCUAGUGAAGAGUAUUGAACUCUUAUUUCAAACAUCAAGCAAAAUCCUAUUUUCUAUUAUAUAAAAUACCCCUGAAAGUAAUCAAAUGACCACAGCAGAGCAACACAGCAGUUGUUAUAAUCUCAUAAAAUGUUCAUGUCAAUAACAGUCUCAUGCACAGAAACUAUAAAUGUCUGUAUGUUGUGUGGUAAUAUGCUGUGUUGUGUCAUAGUCAACCAAAACCCUCGUAAUCUGCAAACAUUUGCUCACUGCAGUUCCCAAAAGUAUAUUUUUGAAUUCUGCAGCAUAUUGAGCUGAGCAGGUUGUAUAUGUGUGGAUGAUGAUCGAGUCAACAUCCUGAAGAACAGCUGCUGGAUUUAAAAUAAAUGUCUUUUUCUUCUUUCCCGGUAAACGGUUGUUGCUCCUCUCGCUAUAUAAACUUAAACACAAUCUGUCCCUAAUGAACAGACGACAAGAGCGUUCGGAUUUUAUCUCACAAAAACAACAUAUAAACUU